rnacentral:rRNA from 1 species
GAUGAACGCUGGCGGCGUGCUUAACACAUGCAAGUCGAACGAUGAAGCCCAGCUUGCUGGGUGGAUUAGUGGCGAACGGGUGAGUAACACGUGAGCAACCUGCCCCUGACUCUGGGAUAAGCGCUGGAAACGGCGUCUAAUACUGGAUAUGUCCCGUCACCGCAUGGUGUGCGGGUGGAAAGAUUUUUCGGUUGGGGAUGGGCUCGCGGCCUAUCAGCUUGUUGGUGAGGUAAUGGCUCACCAAGGCGUCGACGGGUAGCCGGCCUGAGAGGGUGACCGGCCACACUGGGACUGAGACACGGCCCAGACUCCUACGGGAGGCAGCAGUGGGGAAUAUUGCACAAUGGGCGGAAGCCUGAUGCAGCAACGCCGCGUGAGGGAUGACGGCCUUCGGGUUGUAAACCUCUUUUAGCAGGGAAGAAGCGAAAGUGACGGUACCUGCAGAAAAAGCACCGGCGAACUACGU